rnacentral:snRNA from 1 species
AUCGCUUCUUGGCCUUUUGGCUCAGAUCGAGUGUCGUAUCUGUUCUUAUCAGUUUAGUAUUUUCAAGAGACCAGCAGUUCUAAAAGGCUUGUUUUAAAAAUUUGCGGUGUCUUAUUAUAGCCUGCAAAAUACCCUCACUCACAAAUUCAGUGUUUUUAACUAUUUAAGAUGAACCUGUG